rnacentral:rRNA from 1 species
CCUACGGGUGGCAGCAGUAGGGACUCUUCCACAAUGGACGAAAGUCUGAUGGAGCAACGCCGCGUGAGUGAAGAAGGGUUUCGGCUCGUAAAGCUCUAUCAGCAGGGAAGAAAUAAAGUCCUUCGGACUUUGGACGGUACCUGACUAAGAAGCUCAGGCUACCUACGUGCCAGCAGCCGCGGUAAUACGUAGGGGGCAAGGGUGAUCCGGAGUUACUGGGUGUAAAGGGAGCGUAGACGGCCGCGCAAGUCUGUAGUGAAAGCCAAUGGCUUAACCAUGGAACUGCGUGGGAAACUGUGCAGCUGGAGUGCAGGAGAGGUAAGCGGAAUUCCUAGUGUAGCGGUGAAAUGCGUAGAUAUUAGGAGGAACACCAGUGGCGAAGGCGGCUGACUGGACUGUAACUGACGUUGAGGCUCGAAAGCGUGGGGAGCAAACAGGAUUAGAUACCCCUGUAGUC